rnacentral:misc_RNA from 1 species
AUUUCAGGCAUGGUAUAGCCCUGCCCUUUUUACUAGUCCAAACACCCUUGAUAUAGGUUCGCAUGUCUUUUUGAAGAAUAUUGAUACAUUAUAGAUUUACAAAACUCAAUUCUUAACCGCACUUGUUCAGACAAGUAAUUCCUUCUUCGAGAUAAUCAUCUCUGCUAAUCCAGAACUCUGGAGCAUCCUUCAUAAUUCCAGCAAGAACUGCACCUCCUAGGUAGACCAUAUGCUUUCUCCGUGGUGGAUCUUCUAUCCGCAAUCGCAGCUUCUUUAACCCAUCUUUAUUUCCCUUCAGAACAACUUCAAGAUAGCGAUCCAGUAUUUCUUUCUCCAGGCGACUAGGUAAACCAGGAUACAUGGUGCUCCCUCCACUUAAUACUAUGUGCUGGUACAGCAUCAUUCGGUUGUCAAUAUCCAUUUCCUGGAUGCAGCGAAAAACCAUAUCAGCCAUUCCAUCACCUUCAACAUCUAUAAGUUCUGGUGUAAAAAGAGCCUCAGGUGCC